GCGCAGCAGGCGAGAAUCGUCUACAAUGGACGAAAGUCUGAUAGUGCGACGCCGUGUGUGCGAUUAAUUCCUUCGGGAUGUAAAGCACUUUUCUAUGAGAUAAAAGCUCUUUAGGUUAAUAGCUUAUUGAGACGGAUAUUAUUAUAGGAAUAAGCUCCGGCUAACUCCGUGCCAGCAGCCGCGGUAAUACGGAAGGAGCGAGCGUUGUCCGGAUUUACUAGGCGUAAAGGGCUAGUAGGCGACUAAUUAAGUUAUAUGUUAAAUCCCACGGCUCAACUGUGGUCCUGCAUGUAAUACUGGUUAGAUAGAGUACUGUAGAGGAAGGCAGAAUUCCUGGAGUAGCGGUGGAAUGCGCAGAUAUCAGGAAGAAUACAAAAGACGAAGGCAGCCUUCUGGGCAGUACUGACGCUGAAUAGCGAAGGUGUGGGUAGCGAACAGGAUUAGAUACCCGUGUAGU
rnacentral:rRNA from 1 species